UACGGAGGGGGCUAGCGUUGUUCGGAAUUACUGGGCGUAAAGCGCACGUAGGCGGCUUUGUAAGUUAGAGGUGAAAGCCCGGGGCUCAACUCCGGAAUUGCCUUUAAGACUGCAUCGCUAGAAUUGUGGAGAGGUGAGUGGAAUUCCGAGUGUAGAGGUGAAAUUCGUAGAUAUUCGGAAGAAACACCAGUGGCGAAGGCGACUCACUGGACACAUAUUGACGCUGAGACGCGAAAGCGUGGGGAGCGAACAGG
rnacentral:rRNA from 1 species